CGUCGCCGUCCGACAGCUCAAGGUGAGCCUAAUUCCUUUAUUUCCUUUUGGCAUUUUCUUUUCCAAAUCUGUAAAUUCUAUAUAAUAAUAAUAAUUAUAUAUAUAAUAAUAAUAAUAAUAAUAAUAAUAAUAAUAAUAAUAAUAAUAAUAAUAAUAAUAAUAAUAAUAAUAAUAAUAAUAAUAAUAAUAAUAAUAACUCCCUCCCUUCUCCUUGAUUUGGCAGAUCAGAGACAACGGCAAGUCGCCGUUGCUGCUCCGUCGCUGACGACAAGCCACCAUGGCUGCCACCUCCCUGACGUCGUCACAAACACACAAAACAUGGGGCUCAGCCCCAAACUCUGUCAACAACAGUUAGAUGUGGUGUAUUUACAUAUUUCUGCCAUAAAAUCCUAGAUCUGUAAAUUAUUAUUCAUUUCGCUAAUCAAAGUAUAGUAAAUUUCAGUUUCACUGCCAC
rnacentral:lncRNA from 1 species